CGAGUGGCGGACGGGUGAGUAAUGCGUAGGAAUCUACCUAGUUGAGUGGGAUAGCCUAGGGAAACUUAGGGUAAUACCGCAUAAGUCUUACGGGAGAAAGCAGGGGACUGUUAAAGGCCUUGCGCGAUUAGAUGAGCCUACGUCGGAUUAGCUUGUUGGUGGGGUAAAGGCCUACCAAGGCGAUGAUCCGUAGCUGGUCUGAGAGGACGACCAGCCACACUGGGACUGAGACACGGCCCAG
rnacentral:rRNA from 1 species